rnacentral:rRNA from 1 species
GAUCCUGGCUCAGGACGAACGCUGGCGGCGUGCCUAAUACAUGCAAGUUGAACGCUGAAGACUGGUACUUGUACCAGUUGGAUGAGUAGCGAACGGGUGAGUAACGCGUGGGUAACCUACCUCUUAGCGGGGGACAACUAUUGGAAACGAUAGCUAAUACCGCAUAACAAUACUUAACACAUGUUAAGUAUUUGAAAGCACCAAUUGGUGCACUAAGAGAUGGACCCGCGUUGUAUUAGCUAGUUGGUAGUG